CGCCUGGGGAGUACGGUCGCAAGAUUAAAACUCAAAGGAAUUGACGGGGACCCGCACAAGCGGUGGAUGAUGUGGAUUAAUUCGAUGCAACGCGAAAAACCUUACCUACCCUUGACAUGUACGGAAGACCGAAGAGAUUUGGUUGUGCUCGAAAGAGAGCCGUAACACAGGUGCUGCAUGGCUGUCGUCAGCUCGUGUCGUGAGAUGUUGGGUUAAGUCCCGCAACGAGCGCAACCCUUGUCAUUAGUUGCUACGAAAGAGCACUCUAAUGAGACUGCCGGUGACAAACCGGAGGAAGGUGGGGAUGACGUCAAGUCCUCAUGGCCCUUAUGGGUAGGGCUUCACACGUCAUACAAUGGUACAUACAGAGGGCCGCCAACCCGCGAGGGGGAGCUAAUCCCAGAAAGUGUAUCGUAGUCCGGAUUGUAGUCUGCAACUCGACUGCAUGAAGUUGGAAUCGCUAGUAAUCGCGGAUCAGCAUGUCGCGGUGAAUACGUUCCCGGGUCUUGUACACACCGCCCGUCACACCAUGGGAGCGGGUUUUACCAGAAGUAGGUAGCUUAACCGUAAGGAGGGCGCUUACCACGGUAGGAUUCGUGACUGGGGUGAAGUCGUAACAAGGUAGCCGUAUCGGAAGGUGCGGCUGGAUCACCUCCUUUCUAG
rnacentral:rRNA from 1 species